AUGGACCUGCUCGGCGUCUUCUUCCAUGGCGCGACGCUCGCGUUCGAGCGGGACGACCUCGGGAAGGAGAUCAUGGGGAUCGCGGUGCCGGGCGCGCUCGCGCUCAUGGCCGACCCGCUCGCGUCUCUCGUCGACACCGCCUUCAUCGGCCGCAUAGGUCCAGUAGAGAUUGCAGCUGUAGGUGUAUCUAUUGUCGUGUUCAAUCAAGUAACAAGAAUUGCAGUAUUCCCCCUUGUGAGCGUCACAACAUCAUUUGUUGCAGAGGAAGAUGCUACUUCCAGUGACAGAAACAAAGAUGAAAUAAGUGGCGAGAAUGAACACAAUGUUAGCGAAAUGGAUGAACUGAUUACUCAUGAAGAGAAUAAUGCCACAUCCGGCAAAUCGUCUUUCGAAACUGACUCAAGUGAGAUCAAUACUGAGCAUAAGCGGAAAAAAAUUCCAUCAGUUUCUACAGCAUUACUACUUGGUGUGGUGCUUGGUCUUGUUGAAACUCUGCUGCUUGUUUCCUGUGCAAAGCCUAUCUUAGACUUCAUGGGUGUGAAAGCGGACACUGGAAUGUUGAAUCCUGCAUUACAGUACUUAGUACUCAGAUCUUUAGGUGCUCCUGCUGUUCUUUUAUCUCUGGCAAUGCAAGGGGUAUUUCGUGGACUUAAAGAUACAAGGACGCCUCUAUAUGCAACUGUGGCUGGAGAUGCAAUCAAUAUAGUUUUGGAUCCAAUAUUUAUGUUUGUGUUUCAGUAUGGUGUCAGUGGUGCAGCAGUUGCUCAUGUUAUAUCACAAUAUUUCAUUGCUGCCAUACUCCUAUGUAGACUACGUCUGCAAGUUGAACUACUGCCACCCAACUUGAAACAUCUGCCGAUUGGUCGGUUCCUUAAAAACGGUUCUCUGUUACUUGCCAGAGUUAUUGCCGCAACAUGCUGUGUAACACUAUCUGCAUCAAUGGCUGCACGGCUAGGUUCAACUCAAAUGGCUGCAUUCCAGAUUUGCUUGCAGAUCUGGUUGGCAUCUUCCCUUCUUGCUGAUGGAUUGGCUUUUGCUGGACAGGCUAUACUUGCAAGUGCAUUUGCUCGUAAGGACCAUUCGAAGGCCAAGGCCACAGCUUCCCGCUUACUGCAGCUUGGGUUGAUCUUGGGGCUUCUCCUGGGCCUACUUCUAGGAGUUGGCCUCCAUACAGGUUCGAGAUUAUUUACAGAAGACCAGGGUGUACUGCAUCAUAUCUACGUGGCAAUACCGUUUGUCGCUCUCACUCAACCGAUCAACGCUUUAGCUUUUGUUUUCGACGGUGUCAAUUAUGGUGCAUCUGAUUUUGCAUAUGCUGCUUAUUCAUUGAUACUUGUGGCGAUUGUCAGCAUUGCUUUCAUUGUCACCCUCGCCAAUUACAGUGGUUUCAUUGGAAUCUGGAUAGCCUUGUCGAUCUACAUGUGCCUCCGCAUGUUUGCGGGGUUAUGGAGGAUUGGGACUGCACGAGGGCCAUGGGCUUUCCUUCGCAGCUGA
rnacentral:rRNA from 1 species